AUACGUAGGGUGCAAGCGUUAAUCGGAAUUACUGGGCGUAAAGCGUGCGCAGGCGGUUUUGUAAGACAGUGGUGAAAUCCCCGGGCUCAACCUGGGAACUGCCAUUGUGACUGCAAGGCUGGAGUGCGGCAGAGGGGGAUGGAAUUCCGCGUGUAGCAGUGAAAUGCGUAGAUAUGCGGAGGAACACCGAUGGCGAAGGCAAUCCCCUGGGCCUGCACUGCCGCUCAUGCACGAAAGCGUGGGGAGCAAACAGGAUUAGAUGCCCUGGUAGUCCACGCCCUAAGCGAUGUCAACUGGUUGUUGGGGAUUUAUUUUCUCAGUAACGAAGCUAACGCGUGAAGUUGACCGCCUGGGGAGUACGGCCGCAAGGUUAAAACUCAAAUGAAUUGACGGGG
rnacentral:rRNA from 1 species